rnacentral:rRNA from 1 species
AAGACCUUGCGCUUUUGGAGCGGCCGAUGUCUGAUUAGCUAGUUGGUGGGGUAAUGGCCUACCAAAGCUUCGAUCAGUAGCUGGUCUGAGAGGACGGCCAGCCACACUGGGACUGAGACACGGCCCAGACUCCUACGGGAGGCAGCAGUGGGGAAUUUUGGACAAUGGGCGCAAGCCUGAUCCAGCCAUACCGCGUGAGUGAAGAAGGCCUUCGGGUUGUAAAGCUCUUUCAGCCGGGAAGAAAAGGCUGCGACUAAUAAUCGCAGUUCAUGACGGUACCGGAAGAAGAAGCACCGGCUAACUACAUGCCAGCAGCCGCGGUAAUACGUAGGGUGCGAGCGUUAAUCGGAAUUACUGGGCGUAAAGGGUGCGCAGGCGGUUUUGUAAGUCAGAUGUGAAAUCCCCGGGCUUAACCUGGGAACU